UACGUAGGUGGCAAGCGUUGUCCGGAUUUACUGGGCGUAAAGCGUAUGCAGGCGGAUACUUAAGUAGGAAGUGAAAAGGUGGGAGCUCAACUCCCACAUUGCUCCCCUAUACUGGGUGUCUUUGAGUGGCGGAGAGGGAGAGGGGAACGACACGUGUAGCGGUGAAAUGCGUUGAUAUGUGUCGGAACACCAAUGGCGAAAGCACUCUCCUGGACGCAAACUGACGCUGAGAUACGAAAAAGCCA
rnacentral:rRNA from 1 species